GUUGCUAUCCUAAAGGCUAGAUGCUUGGUCAUGUGACUGCUGGCUGUUUCAAUAAAAAUGAAUUUAUUCUGUUGCAAUAUGCUAUUUUCUUUUUAUUCUUCUUAGGUGUGCAUUUAAUGCUGAAGUGCUUGCAACCUUCAGUAAAACACCGUUUAUUGAAAAAUAGACUUUUAUAGCACCAUUUGGCAGCUACCAGUGACUUUUGAUCUGCUCCAGCAGCAAAAGGAGAGAGACUAUAUUGGUGAGAUCAAAUACAGAACAAGGUGUAUUGCAGUAUUCUCUGAAGCAAUUGGUUUUUGUUUUUGAAAGGGUACAGUUACUGGGGAACUCUGAUUGUGUAUAUGCCUGAGUUCCACAAUGGUCUGUUUUUCUGCAGUGCUCUCUGUGCUAUAGCCUGAGAUACUGCAGCUGUUUUUAAGGUCAUUUCCUUUUAUUUUAAAUAAUUGUUCAUUUAACAUAUGUCGUUAAACUCAUUCUUGCGUCAAAAGGAGGCGAUUAUACUUCCUGACCCUGAAAGCAAGUGCCUUGGAUUUUCUUCUGAAACCCCCAGAGAGGACUGAGGAAGCAAGUGUGGAGUCCCACUGCCAGAGAGAGUGAAGAAAUGGAGGUGCUGUGGAAACAGAACAGAAGCCCAUGCUUCAGCCAGGACUGCAAUGGCCUCCUCCCGUGGGAGUAACAGCUGCAUAAAUAGGAGGGAAAUCCUCAGUGGAAUUGCUUCCAACACCUUUCUAAUGGAAAUAAUGAUUUGCAAAACCCAAUUUAUGCCUCUGCCACAUAAUUAGUAGCCAAAAGAGCUAAAGAUUAAAAACACUGUUCCAAGUCCCAGCAUCUUUGAAUUUGGCAAGACCUUAAAUAUUGCACUCUGUGUUCCAAACAGGUUGCCUAUAUGUGAGCAUUGCAAGGAAAGUCUUAGUCAGUUGAAUCAAGCCCUUGAAUCAGUCAACACUUAUUAUGUGGAAAUUAACCAGUUUGAUGUCAAUUAGUGGAAAUUUGUUAGCAGGCAUACCCUGUGGGACAGUUUAUUUUGAAUUCCGAAUACUCUUUACUGAAGCCAGCUAAGAUAGUUGGUGUGGUCCCUGACUCCUUCUUUAAAAAUCAGAGUAGAAUUACUUAAGAAACAGCUAAGAAACACAGAGAGAAAAGGCUACAUCGAAACUCAAAACCUACCUCUCCAAAAUAUCCGUUGUUGAAUGGGCAUAAGUGCAAGGAAAUCAAGAUCUGAUUUUCUGUUUUAACAAGGAACAGAAGUAUUAGAUGCCUGUUCUGUAUUUGUCAAUAUUGAGCGCUGGAUGGGAAAGUCAGUUGUUCUAACGACAAUGCUCAAAAUUAGCCACAUGCUCACCUUAAACAUUUUCCAUCUAUAAAGCUGGUGUUACUUUCCUAUCAUGUUGCUCACAUCAGAUGCACCAAGAUGAAGAACAGUGACAACACAGUUGUUCACCCAUAACCCCAGGACAUCAGGCAAACUGACAGUGUGUCGUUACAAAGAGGUGGAAUUAAUCAAAGAAAGCAUCAUUCCAGGAAUGGGGGGUGUUAUGGUACAGGGAAGAUGAAUUGGCUGUGAUGUCAGAAUCCUGAGGAGCAGCAAAGAUGGAUCAGAUACUACACAACUUACCCAGAAAGACUGGCAUGUGGCAUCAUUCUGAAUGAAGUCCAGGAAAUAAUGCUUCUAGAAAUUAUGCUUCCUGAAGUGAAGUCACAGCAUUUGACAACUCUGAUUGUCAGGAACGAUGAUAUCUAGUCCCAGAAGUACCACUUCCUUUCAUUCAGAGUCCUGGCAUACGUACUGGCAGAACAGCAAGUUGGAAGGCUGAAAAACCCAACCAUAUCUCAUCUAAGGAACAUACAGUUUACCAUACCAGAUUGGACCAAUUAUCCAUCAAGACUGGAGUUCUGUCUUGCUAAUGGACUAUGUUUGAUGCUCCGAAAGAAAAACAGCUGGCCAAUUAUGCAGGGUUCGCCAUGGUGGAAAGGGUGGGAGGGUUACUUCAUAUCUCUAUGGUAAUCAUCACCCUGAAUUAUGCAGUUUGAUUGCCCCAUUCUAGCAAGUAAAGCUACAAAUGUUAUUACUGGUCAUAAAAUUAUGUAGCCCUUUAAAAAUCCUGCUACAGUAUUUAACUCUUUGCCCUCCACAGUUUAACUGCUGUAUAAAAUAGUAUUUAAAGUAAAGCUGAAAUUAAUUUGUCAAUGGCAAGCCAUACCUUUGGUUUUACUCAUUUGCUUACCACUAAAGACUAUUUACUUCCAAAAAAGGCUACAUUUCUCUGUCUUGUGUAUGAGAGACUUUUGCAAAUCCAAGACUGAGGCAUCUGGCUAGGGCCAGAAAGAGCAUGCAGUACACCAUGCAGGCUCUCCAAACCACUCUGCCUAUGUACCUCAAUGCUAACUUGCUGUACCUGUGAUCUGCUUGUUACUAAGCCUGUCCAGUUCAAAUAAUAAGUAUUAAGCAAAUACCACUGAUAGUUUUGGGAUACGAACGAGGGCCCACUGAAUACAGAAAUGAGGCAAUCAAACUCACUUCAUGUACCUGACCAUUGAACUCAGGACUCUCUGUUAAUGCUUUAAUUUUGUCCCACUAAGCUUUUCUGAAAAUUGUUUAAAUAAGCUUCCUUUACAGAAAGAGAAAGCAUGAUGGGAGAAGGAACAACAUCUUUAAUUAGAAAAAUUCAAAUCAGCUCUUAAUUUAAUUCACCACACCAGCAGCCAUGAUUAGAUCUGCAUCAUGAUAUAUCUCCAAUACAAUCAAUUUUCAUAAAUGCAAACUUUCCUGAAUAUGGUUCUGAUGUAUACUGACAUUUUAAAAUAUGUCCUAUUGUCCUUUUCUGUGCAGCAGACCAAGCACAGAGUGUUCAGUCCUAUAUCACUGUCACAGUGGUAUUAGACCAGAUGGCUGCUUCCUUGCAGAAUCAAGAAUUAGAGAUAAUUUAUGCUGUUCACUGUUAUUAAAAUGUAGAAAUAUAAGGAGUCUGUAGCAUCCAUACAUGAAAAGUAGCUCAGAUCCAUCAGCAAUACACUGGUGAAAAGGCUCUUUAUACUGCUACCACACUCUUAAGAAUAAAGUUUCAUUCCAUGGAGCUGUGGGCAUCUAUUAGGCCAGCUGACUGUUUCUUUUGCACAUGACAUGUUGUAGGGCUAAACUGAUCUAGGAUACAGGGUUACUUUGUUGGGAAAGGUUUCAGAGUAACAGCCGUGUUAGUCUGU